GGUAGCUUAGAGGUAGAGUGCUUGCCUUGCAUGCAUGAGGCCUUGGGUUCGAUUCCUCAGCACCA
rnacentral:tRNA from 1 species